rnacentral:tRNA from 1 species
GCCUUCGUAGCUCAGCGGAGAGAGCACCGGGUUCCGAACUCGGGGGUCGCUGGUUCGAGUCCAGCCGAGGGCACCA